ACCCUGCCGAUCUCUUGCUUUUCCCUGGGUGGGGGUCCUCUUGAAUGUGAAUGUUUUUUGGACUCUCGGGCGAUGAGUAGCGAGUUUAUUCUCCAGCAGACCCCCUGACCGGUUACGAUGUCGUUAUACAGAAUCGAUGUGCAGCCAUAUACUUCCUUUUAAUCGGCGUUAUUGAACCGUAACGCGCCCCCCGGGCAGAUCCCUUACAGACUGGCCAGUUGGUACUAACUUAUUCCCAUGCACUGCUGUAUUUCCAGUCCACUUAAUGGUCCUGGUGGCCAGAAGGCGCGUGGAAUUGCCCCGAGCCGUGUGGAAUUAACCUGUGCUGUUUAGGCGACCGGUAAAAAAUGUUUUUCAACGUACUCCUAACACAAUAAAUCUCUAGAAACGG